AACGAACGCUGGCGGCAUGCCUAACACAUGCAAGUCGAACGAGACCUUCGGGUCUAGUGGCGCACGGGUGCGUAACGCGUGGGAACCUGCCCUUAGGUUCGGAAUAACUCCCCGAAAGGGGUGCUAAUACCGGAUAAUGUCUUCGGACCAAAGAUUUAUCGCCUUUGGAUGGGCCCGCGUUGGAUUAGCUAGUUGGUAGGGUAAAAGCCUACCAAGGCGACGAUCCAUAGCUGGUCUGAGAGGAUGAUCAGCCACACUGGGACUGAGACACGGCCCAGACUCCGACGGGAGGCAGCAGUGGGGAAUAUUGGACAAUGGGCGAAAGCCUGAUCCAGCAGUGCCGCGUGAGUGAUGAAGGCCUUAGGGUUGUAAAGCUCUUUUACCCGGGAUGAUAAUGACAGUACCGGGAGAAUAAGCUCCGGCUAACUCCGU
rnacentral:rRNA from 1 species